UUUGAGGGGAAUGUUGGCUGGCUCGAGGCUUUUCAGUUUCACAAAGGAAGUUCAGUCUUAAUUGUAUGAACUAUAAGGCUUCGGACCAGGCUUCAUUCCCCUCAAA
rnacentral:pre_miRNA from 14 species